UUUCGUCGUUUCACCUCCCGCCUCCCCCUUUCAUCUAAAUUUGGUAGCCCUAAUACUUCUGAAUCUUUUCCUAUUGUGCCAUAAUUUCUCUAAGCAAUAGAAGAACUGAUAGUAUGGAUUUUUACAUCUCUUUCAAAAACACUGGAAUAGUUGUAGGUGGCAAAAGCAAGAUUGUCGUGCGAGUGACUGUGAGAGUGUGUUCACCUUGAAUUGGGAAGAAGAGAAGAAGCAUGAAGAUCCAUCACAUUCCUACCCUCCAAGACGAUUAUUCCUAUUUAUAAUAUUCUAAUUUUGCAUUUCUCAGUUUCGAUUUUGGGCAAUAUCUGAAUCUGGGUUAUUUGCAGGAUCGUGGACUGAGACUACCAAAGAAGUUGCAACAGUGGACCCCGUUGAACCGGAGAAGGUUCUCGAAGCUGCCAAUUCACAUGGCCUGAAUCUCAAACUCUGGUUGGAAUAUCAUCUGGAGCUGCAGCAUCAACUGCCAUUAAGAUAGCAAAAAGACCAGAAAUUUUGGAAAGCUUAUUGUAUUGGAUCUUGUCAGCUAACUCAGCAAGCGGACUUUAUGAAGCAGCAAGCAGACAUGAUGAAACAAAUGCAGGAACAACUCCGAAUUUUAAUGCAGGACAAGGAAGCCAACUGCAACAAGUCGAAAGGACCGGCGCCGGAUGAUGACCCUGAUGAUGAUGAUGAUGACUUUGCUAGGACUUUAGAGACAUACUAGUUGUUAUUUGUAUGUUUUACUUCUUUUAGGACUUCAGAGAUAUAUCAGAUAUUUUUUGUAUGUUUUAUUUUGUUUAGAACUUUAGAUACAUUUUAGUUGUAGAUUUGA